rnacentral:misc_RNA from 2 species
AACGCACAUUGCGCCCGCCAGUACUCUGGCGGGCAUGCCUGUUCGAGCGUCAUUUCAACCCUCAAGCCCCCGGCUUGGUGUUGGGGCCCUGCGGCUGCCGCAGGCCCCGAAAUGGAGUGGCGGGCUCGCGGCGAACUCCGAGCGUAGUAGAAUCCUAUCUCGCUAGGGAGGCGCGGCGCGCUCCGGCCGUUAAAGGAACUUCUUUUAACCCAAGGUUGACCUCGGAUCAGGUAGGAAUACCCGCUGAACUUAA